AUAAAAACAUUUAUGUGACUUGUGUGGGUGUGAAACUGCAGCCACACUGGUCUGCACUCAGUCAUUCUGACUCAACUCUUGUUUCAGAUGUAAAACUCAACCUGUCUGCCAGCUGGCUGCAAAUCGCCCCUGUGAGUGUUAACCCUGGUUUGUGUUUUUCAGCCAGACAGCAGUGGAACUUAACAUGCAGCCGGACGCCCACGCAUGAGCUCAUAAGUUAAUAUAAAACUAACCUGUCUGAGGUUUGUCAACGCUUUGAUUCAUCAACCAUCAACCUGAGCAAACAUACAACUAUCAGCAGUGUGAGAUGACCAUGACAGGUCCUCAGUGAUGUUGAUUCCCAAGAACUAAAACUGUUUGCCAGCUCCACCUCAGCUGCACUGAUGUAGUCUUCCAACAGCAGGAUGCAGCAGGAGGAACCGGGGGAUCGAUCCAUUGACCUUCAAUUAGUGGAUCUGCUCUACCAACUGAGCAACAGCCACCCAAUAUGAAGACUCAACGUUAUAAUAGUAUAAGUGCACAGCAUCGGUAUGGAGUUAGAAUCAUGCCAAAACCUCACACA